CUGCAUGUUUUUGGACUGUUGGAGGAUUCCCGGAAAACCCAGAGAAAAUCCAAGCACACACAGGAACAUGGAAAUGAACAUGUAGGUAUUGUUCCAUUUUUGAUUUUUUGCAACUUUAAAAGGGACGUUGAAAGAAAAGUAUGUAUUUGCAUCAGAAUAUCAAUCAUGUCUAGUUGUCAUGACCUUAACCACCAAUGUGAUUAUUUGAUUCAAGGAACAAAAUUACAGUUUCACAAAGACCGGCCAUUAUCAUUAUGUUAUGUGUAGAUUAUGUACAAAUUACAGUUGUUAUUGUACAGUUUCUGGAAAAUCAUUUUUGGGAAGACACCAGUGGAGUAGACUAUGAAGUUAAAGGCUGGACGACAUGAUUGCUGCCAUUUCCUGUUGCAGAACUGAUGCGCGUCGUGUACACACGAUGACCCGAUCACAACGCAUCAUCGCAGAAGAGGGCAGAUUUUCAAAUCAGUACGUGAAAUGUAGGUUGACGAUGCUGAUGACCACACACAUCUGAAGGCCACAGGGACACUUACAUGUCUUUGAUGCCCACCCCCGGACACUCAUCGAUCACUACGAUGCCAUGGCGGUCACACAUCUGCAGGAUCUCCUCGGCGUAUGGGUAGUGACUGGUGCGAAAGGAGUUGGCCCCCAGCCACUUGAGUAAGUUGAAGUCCUUGACGAUCAGGGGCCAGUCCAAGCCUUUGCCACGAAUCUACCAGGUAAACAGAAAAAUAGAGAUCAAUGAGCUUCUGUUCUCCCGUAAAUCAGAAGAUGUUGCUGCAAACAGAAGGACAGAGGAGCUCAAUUCAAUGUAGAAAUGAGACUGACUCAUUGUUAGAGCUUUGCUGCCCUCUAGUGGUACUCACAUCAGCGUCCUCGUGUUUAUUGACUCCAUGGAAGUAGAAGGGUUUGUUGUUGAUGAGGAACUGGGUGCUGGUAACCUUAACCGAGCGGAUGCCUACUGGGAGGGUAUACACGUCUUCAUUGGGCGCCAUUAAGCGAACCUGGACAUUGAAUGGAACAAGUGCCCGAUUCAGAAACCACACUUUCUUACCAUCUGCUAAACACAGCUCUUCAGACCUUGUAUAGAAGGGUUUGGAAAAAAUACUCAGCAAUUGCAAUGAGUUAGGAAACUAAGUCAUAACCUAAAAUUGUAUGCACAGUACAUGUACAGUACAUGUGCAUACAUAAAGUUAACUUACAAGUGAAACACUAGCGUGUUAGUAUACAGUAAUGAAGAAAGUACAUAUCAAUUGCUAUGUUAAUAUUCCACUGUCUUCCAGAGUCUUCAUCAGCUCUUUUAAGCAGGAAAUGUUGCCACACAUUCAAACUGACACAAAACAUGUGCCUAGUAUUGCAACACUACUACAGGAUGUAUCCUAUUAAUCACUAAGAUAAACUGUUCCAAGUCA